CCUACGGGUGGCAGCAGUGGGGAAUAUUGGACAAUGGGGGGGAGUCUGAUCCAGCGACGCCGCGUGAGGGAAGAAGGAUUUCGGUAUGGAAAGCUUUAUCAGCAGGGAAGAAAGAAAUGACGGUACCUGACUAAUAAGCCCCGGCUAACUACGUGCCAGCAGCCGCGGUAAUACGUAGGGGGCAAGCGUUAUCCGGAUUUACUGGGUGUAAAGGUAGCGUAGACGGCGAUGCAAGUCUGAAGUGAAAGGCGGGGGCCCAACCUCCGGACUGCUUUGGAAACUGGAUGGCUGGAGUACAGGAGAGGUAAGUGGAAUUCGUGGUGUAGCGGUGAAAUGCGUAGAUAUUACGAGGAACACCAGUGGCGAAGGCGGCUUACUGGACUGUAACUGACGUUGAGGCUCGAAAGCGUGGGGAGCAAACAGGAUUAGAUACCCUAGUAGUC
rnacentral:rRNA from 1 species